UACGUAGGGGGCAAGCGUUGUCCGGAAUCAUUGGGCGUAAAGCGCGUGUAGGCGGCCAGAAAAGUCCGCUGUGAAAACUCGAGGCUCAACUUCGAGCUGUCGGUGGAAACUUUCUGGCUAGAGUCCGGAAGAGGAGAAUGGAAUUCCUGGUGUAGCGGUGAAAUGCGCAGAUAUCAGGAAGAACACCCGUGGCGAAGGCGGUUCUCUGGGGCGGUACUGACGCUGAGACGCGAAAGCGUGGGGAGCGAACAGG
rnacentral:rRNA from 1 species